rnacentral:rRNA from 1 species
UACGUAGGGUCCGAGCGUUGUCCGGAGUUACUGGGCGUAAAGCGCGCGCAGGCGGCUGAUCAAGUCUGGCGUGAAAGCCCCCGGCUCAACCGGGGAGGGUCGUCGGAGACUGGUUGGCUUGAGGGCGGUAGGGGCUGGUGGAAUUCCCGGUGUAGUGGUGAAAUGCGUAGAGAUCGGGAGGAACACCUGUGGCGAAGGCGGCCAGCUGGGCCGUCCCUGACGCUGAGGCGCGAAGGCGUGGGGAGCAAACAGG